rnacentral:rRNA from 1 species
AUUGAACGCUGGCGGCAGGCCUAACACAUGCAAGUCGAGCGGAGCGGCGGACGGGUAAGUGAUGCCUGUGAAUCUGCCUGGUAGUGGGGGAUAACGUCCGGUAACGGACGCUAAUACCGCAUACUCUCAGCUGAGCCUAGGUCGGAUUAGCUAGUUGGUGGGGUAAAGGCCUACCAAGGCGACGAUCCCUAACUGGUCUGAGAGGAUGAUUAGUCACACUGGAACUGAGACACGGUCCAGACUCCUACGGGAGGCAGCAGUGGGGAAUAUUGGACAAUGGGCGAAAGCCUGAUCCAGCCAUGCCGCGUGUGUGAAGAAGGUCUUCGGAUUGUAAAGCACUUUAAGUUGGGAGGCGUUACCCACAGAAGAAGCACCGGCUAACUUCGUGCCAGCAGCCGCGGUAAUUC